rnacentral:rRNA from 1 species
AACGAACGCUGGCGGCAUGCCUAACACAUGCAAGUCGAACGAGACCUUCGGGACUAGUGGCGCACGGGUGCGUAACGGGUGGGAACCUGCCCUUAGGGUCGGAAUAACUCCCCGAAAGGGGUGCUAAUACCGAAUAAUGUCUUCGGACCAAAGAUUUAUCGCCUUUGGAUGGGCCCGCGUUGCAUUAGCUAGUUGGUAAGGUAAAAGCCUACCAAGGCGACGAUCCCUAGCUGGUCUGAGAGGAUGAUCAGCCACACUGGGACUGAGACACGGCCCAGACUCCUACGGGAGGCAGCAGUGGGGAAUAUUGCACCAUGGGCGAAAGCCUGAUGCAGCUAUGCCGCGUGAGUUAUGAAGGCCUUAGGGUUGUAAAGCUCUUUUACCCGGGAUGAUAAUGACAGUACCGUGAGAAUAAGCUCCGGCUAACUCCGUG